ACCUUCUAAUUCUGUUAUUGCAACUGCAGACCGUUACCUGGCAUGCUGGCUGCUACCUCGCUCACUCUUGUCAGAGUCGGAGCUACAGUCAGUGCCUUCAGCUCUGAGCUCAGGCAUACCGGUCCCUGUUUUUGCAGUUAAGGACUCUAAAGUGUUGUGACGUGUUCAUCAAGUUUUUCUCAACCAUAAGUUAACAAUUCCAGUAAUUGUCAUCUCUCAGUCCUGAUUAAACCUAAUUGAUUUCACUAGUUUUUGACCCAUCAUGUGUUUGGGUUUCUUCUCCCCAGUCCCUGGCUCUACCUCUUCUGCCACAAACGUCAGCAUGGUGGUAUCUGCCGACCCUUUGUCCAGCGAGAGGGCAGAGAUGAACAUCCUAGAAAUCAACCAGGAAUUGCGCUCCCAGCUGGCAGAGAGCAAUCAGCAGUUCCGAGACCUCAAAGAGAAAUUCCUUAUAUCUCAAGCUACUGCCUACUCCCUGGCCAACCAGCUGAAGAAAUACAAAAAGCAAAAUGAUCUUGAAGAGGUGAAAGGACAAGAAACAGUUGCUCCCAGGCUCAGCAGGGGACCACUGAGAGUAGACAAGUAUGAAAUCCCCCAGGAGUCACUGGAUGGAUGUUGCUUGACUCCUUCCAUCCUUCCUGACCUGACUCCCUCCUACCACCCUUAUUGGAGCACUUUGUACUCUUUUGAAGACAAGCAAGUCAGCUUGGCUCUUGUAGACAAAAUUAAAAAGGAUCAAGAGGAGGUAGAAGACCAAAGCCCACCAUGCCCCAGGCUCAGCCAGGAGCUGCCAGAGGUGAAGGAGCAGGAAGUCCCAGAGGACUCCGUGAAUGAAGUUUACUUGACUCCCUCAGUUCACCAUGAUGUGUCUGACUGCCACCAGCCUUAUAGCAGCACCUUGUCCUCAUUGGAGGAUCAGCUUGCCUGCUCUGCUCUGGAUGUAGCCUCCCCCACCGAGGCGGCCUGUCCCCAAGGGACUUGGAGUGGAGACUUGAGCCACCACCGGUCAGAGGUUCAAAUUUCACAGGCACAGCUGGAACCAAGCACCCUGGUGCCCAAUUGUCUGCGACUACAGCUGGAUCAAGGGUUCCACUGUGGGAACGGCUUGCCCCAGCGGGGCCUUUCCUCCAUGACCUGCAGCUUCUCAGCCAAUGCUGAUUCUGGGAACCAAUGGCCCUUCCAAGAGCUGGUUUUAGAGCCCUCUCUGGGGAUGAAGAACCCUCCCCAGCUGGAAGAUGAUGCACUUGAAGGCUCAGCAAGCAACACACAAGGGCGUCAAGUCACUGGCCGGAUUCAUGCCUCCCUUGUCCUGAUACUGAAGAUCAUCAAAAGAAGACUCCCGUUCAGCAAGUGGAGACUGGCAUUCAGAUUCGCUGGCCCGCAUGCUUAGAGUGCAGAGAUACCAAAUACUGCUGGAAGGAUGCAAAGGAUGAUAGGAUGAAAGAAUGUCACAAAAAGCAGCUUUUCCACUUGAUAAAAACAACUAAAACGCAAAGCAAGUUCAAGUCCCAACACAAUACUGCAGGGGUCCUUCACUGAGGAUUGAAUUUCAGACACAGAAUACUCUUGAUGACUUCAAGCCACUAUGCUCCUUUGAUUUGAGAAGCCACAUUCCAUCCCCCUCCAAUUGUGAUCAAUACCUAGGGAGACCAAUGCCCAGAUGGACAAAUAGCAUUGACAGGCGUUAGCCCUGUUUCUCAAUUCCCAUCAUGUAGAGAACAGGAGUCCGCAGCUGCUGGCAGGACACAGCAUGUCAGCCGGGACUCUGCCAGGGCAGAGUAUGAGCAAUGCCAUGUUCUUGCUGAAAACGCUUAGCCUGAGUUUCAUAGGAGGUAACCCUCAGAUAACUGCAGAAUGUAGAACAUUGAACAGGACAACUGACCUGUCUCCUUCAAACAGUCCAUGUCACCACCAAGAACACAACAAAAAGGAGAAGAGACAUUUUGAGUUCAAAAAGAGUAAAAAGCCUAUGCAGCUUAUGCUUUUUUAGUCAUUUUGAACCCAAAACAUCUCCUCAUCUUUUUGUUGUUGUCAUUGAUGGUGGUGACAUGGACUUGUUUGUAGAGGACAGGUCAGCUGUCUGGCUCAAUGGUCUACAUUCUGAAGUUAUCUGAAAAUGUCGUCAUGAUUAAAUCCAGCCUAAACAUUUUGCCAGGAACUCUGCAGCGUCCAUGCUGUAGCUUCCUACCUCAGUCCAUCUGCAGGCAGAGAAGGCCCAGUGUGUCCAUCCCCAAUGCGGUGAUACUAGGAUGGUCACUUGGUUAAGGAGGGGUCUAGGAGCUCUGUCCCUUGUAAAGACAUCUUAUUUGUAAGUAAUUUGGAAAGUGGUGUGAAAUAGUAUAAAUAUCCUGUAUUCUAAUGAUCUUCUUCAGAACAUUUUAUCACCAAUUAAUCACCCCGCCUGUGUCAGUUAUUAUAUUUAUGUUUGCACAAUGAAAAUUUUCUAUCUCAAAAUAUUACCUUAUACUUGCUUUUGCUGGCAUUCUUCGUAAAAAAGAUUAUUCCCUGCCCAAAUUUUAACUUUCAUCCAAAAUUAAUUUUAAUUUCUUUUUGCUGGCAUUCUGUUGUGAAAAAGAAUAUUCUCUGCCCCAAUUAUCACUUUCAUCCAAAAUUAAUUUUAGUCCAUCAGUUAAAAUUUUAAGUUUUAAAUCUGUUUAAUUAAAACAUUUCUUGCCUCUCA